ACGCUCGACACCUACGGGAGGCCGCAGUAGGGAAUCUUCCACAAUGGACGCAAGUCUGAUGGAGCAACGCCGCGUGAGUGAAGAAGGUUUUCGGAUCGUAAAGCUCUGUUGUUGGUGAAGAAGGAUAGAGGUAGUAACUGGCCUUUAUUUGACGGUAAUCAACCAGAAAGUCACGGCUAACUACGUGCCUGCAGCCGCGGUAAUCUGAGCGGGCUGGCAAGGC
rnacentral:rRNA from 1 species